rnacentral:rRNA from 1 species
CGAGGUAUACGGACUGACGCCUGCCCGGUGCUGGAACGUUAAGGGGACCGGUCAGUCAGGAUUCGUCCUGGCGAAGCUGAGAACUUAAGCGCCAGUAAACGGCGGUGGUAACUAUAACCAUCCUAAGGUAGCGAAAUUCCUUGUCGGGUAAGUUCCGACCUGCACGAAUGGCGUAACGACUUCUCGACUGUCUCAACCAUAGGCCCGGUGAAAUUGCACUACGAGUAAAGAUGCUCGUUUCGCGCAGCAGGACGGAAAGACCCCGGGACCUUUACUACAGUUUGAUAUUGGUGUUCGGUUCGGCUUGUGUAGGAUAGCUGGGAGACCGUGAAGCCGCCACGCCAGUGGUGGUGGAGUCGUCGUUGAAAUACCAGUCUGGUCGUGCUGGAUGUCUAACCUGGGUCCGUGAUCCGGAUCAGGGACAGUGUCUGAUGGGUAGUUUAACUGGGGCGGUUGCCUCCUAAAGGGUAACGGAGGCGCCCAAAGGUUCCCUCAGCCUGGUUGGCAAUCAGGUGGUGAGUGUAAGUGCACAAGGGAGCUUGACUGUGAGACCGACGGGUCGAGCAGGGACGAAAGUCGGGACUAGUGAUCCGGCGGUGGCUUGUGGAAGCGCCGUCGCUCAACGGAUAAAAGGUACCCCGGGGAUAACAGGCUGAUCUUCCCCAAGAGUCCAUAUCGACGGGAUGGUUUGGCACCUCGAUGUCGGCUCGUCGCAUCCUGGGGCUGGAGUCGGUCCCAAGGGUUGGGCUGUUCGCCCAUUAAAGCGGUACGCGAGCUGGGUUUAGAACGUCGUGAGACAGUUCGGUCCCUAUCCGCUGCGCGCGCAGGAGUCUUGAGAAGGGCUGUCCCUAGUACGAGAGGACCGGGACGGACGAACCUCUGGUGUGCCAGUUGUCCUGCCAAGGGCAUGGCUGGUUGGCUACGUUCGGGAGGGAUAACCGCUGAAAGCAUCUAAGCGGGAAGCCUGCUUCGAGAUGAGGACUCCCACCCACUUGAUGGGGUAAGGCUCCCAGCAGACGACUGGGUUGAUAGGCCGGGUCUGGAAGCACCGCAAGGUGUGGAGGUGACCGGUACUAAUAGGCCGAGGGCUUGUCCUCAGUUG